UGACAAAACGAAACCCAGCGGCCCUCCCUCCCCCCCCACAUGAGGGUAUGGGAUUUGAAUAAGUUCCCGCUGUCAAAAUCGGGAGGGUUUUCUUCGCCUUCGAGUAACCAUAAAGGACGGCGGCCUCCGAUAUUAUGGCUCCUCGACCCACAUGUGUGCAAUAGAAACGAGCUGG
ensembl:ncRNA T27B1.5 ncRNA